UACGUAGGGUGCAAGCGUUGUCCGGAAUUAUUGGGCGUAAAGAGCUCGUAGGCGGUUUGUCGCGUCGAAUGUGAAAAUCCGGGGCUCAACCCCGGACUUGCAGUGGGUACGGGCAGGCUAGAGUGUGGUAGGGGAGACUGGAAUUCCUGGUGUAGCGGUGAAAUGCGCAGAUAUCAGGAGGAACACCGAUGGCGAAGGCAGGUCUCUGGGCCACUACUGACGCUGAGAAGCGAAAGCAUGGGGAGCGAACAGG
rnacentral:rRNA from 1 species